GAUGAACGCUGGCGGCGUGCCUAAUACAUGCAAGUCGAGCGAACAGACGAGGAGCUUGCUCCUCUGACGUUAGCGGCGGACGGGUGAGUAACACGUGGAUAACCUACCUAUAAGACUGGGAUAACUUCGGGAAACCGGAGCUAAUACCGGAUAAUAUAUUAACCGCAUGGUUCAAUAGUGAAAGACGGUUUUGCUGUCACUUAUAGAUGGAUCCGCGCCGCAUUAGCUAGUUGGUAAGGUAACGGCUUACCAAGGCAACGAUGCGUAGCCGACCUGAGAGGGUGAUCGGCCACACUGGAACUGAGACACGGUCCAGACUCCUACGGGAGGCAGCAGUAGGGAAUCUUCCGCAAUGGGCGAAAGCUUGACGGAGCAACGCCGCGUGAGUGAUGAAGGUCUUCGGAUCGUAAAACUCUGUUAUUAGGGAAGAACAAAUGUGUAAGUAACUAUGCACGUCUUGACGGUACCUAAUCAGAAAGCCACGGCUAACUACGUG
rnacentral:rRNA from 1 species